UACGUAGGGGCUAGCGUUGUCCGGAAUUAUUGGGCGUAAAGGCGCGUAGGCGGUCUUGUAAGUCAGCUGUGAAAGCCCGGGGCUCAACCCCGGAGGUCGGCUGAUACUGCAGGACUGGAGUACGGAAGAGGUAGCUGGAAUUCCCGGUGUAGCGGUGAAAAAUGCGUAGAUAUCGGGGGAGGAACACCUGAGGCGAAGGCGGGGGCUACUGGGGGCCGAUACUGACGCUGAUGCGCGAAAAAGCCAGGGGAGCAAAAACGGGGG
rnacentral:rRNA from 1 species